AAAGGGUGGGGUUUAGGAUUUAGGGUUUAGGGUUUAGGAUUUAGAGUUUAGGGUUUAGGUUUAGGGUUUAGGGUUUAGAAUUUAGAGUUUAGGGUUUAGAGUUUAGGGUUUAGAGUUUAGGGUUUAGGGUUUAGGGUUUAGGAUUUAGGGUUUAGGGUUUAGGGUUUAGGGUUUACAUUUUAGGGUUUAGGGUUUAGAGUUUAGGGUUUAGAAUUGAGAAAUGAGGUUUUGGGGAUAAGAUAUAAACUUGGAAAUGUGCUAUUUUGGUCAUUUUAGUUUUUGAGUGCUAUUUUUGU
rnacentral:lncRNA from 1 species